AUUGCAGAUUCGGCAUUUGGCUAUCUGGCUAUUAACCGGGUAUAAUUUGUUAUUUUGUGAUAUUUUUCAUUGUAAUCAAAAUGUAUUUUGUUGUCUUUUGGGAUGAAUGGUGUGCUACAAUACCAGCUUCUUGGCUUAGCCUAAAGACUAAAAAUUUCAGAUGGCCACCCAAAAAUAAGAAUCCUUCUACAGAAAGUAGAAAAGGAGCAAAGCCUCAAGAAAACUGGACAUCAGUUCCAUAUUCAAAAUUCUUAGGACCUUUUGACUUUUGAAGAAGCCCGAGAAGUGGAAAAU